GUCACAUUGAGUGAACUGUCAAAUUGUCUUGUGAUUUCCUGUUAUUUUUUUUUCAGAAAUAACUUGCGAUUGUGGAUUCUAUUUAUUUGCAUAGCUUUAUAUUCCGUUGAGUGUAGUUGAGUAUCUGCUCCUCCGGGUAGUGCAGUUGUGCGUUUGUUGUGAGAUAGAGACUCGAAGUUCUAAGUUGAGAAUUCGACUUGUUUCUACAUCGUGUCGACGUACAGAAAAAAGUGCUGUGUUCCGGGUUGUAUGGACUCAGGAAAUACAAGUCAAACCUUGCAUUGUUUCCAAAUCCAUCAAAGUACAAAGCACGCUUCAAGCAAUGGGUAACUUCAAUUGGGGGUGACAUCAUUGGUUUAGAUGACGAAGACAUAUACAAACAUUGCAGUGUAUACCAUGCUCACUUUGAAGAAAAAUAUUAUUGUCAGUACAAUAGAUUGAGCAACAUUGCAGUACCAACAUUAAAUUUGCCAGGGCCUUUGUCCUUACCUAGAUUUACAUUUGGUGAAAGAAGGCCAAUGAGAGAAAUACAGAAUUGUCAAAUUUCUGUACUGUUCCCCUCAGCAUCCUCAGUAACUCCAUCAACUUCAGAAUUUUUAGCAGAUGCUGUUGUCAUAUUGCCCGCAUUUGAUGAGACUCCUGCUCUAGAAUCUAGAGUUUUAGGGCAUCUCGGAAUCCUUUUGACUCUGAUACGGAGAUUACUUUGCAACCAAGCACGAGUGGUGAAAAGCCUCAAAAAUCGAGGAAGAGGAAAAUCAUCAGCAAUAAACCUAAACAGAGCAAGAAAACUGCCCCUCCUCCUGAUUUAUCCGAAGACUCUGAAACCGAGCCAGUAUCUACUGCUCGAAAACAAUCCUCAAUAUUUUCAGAUUCUGAGGACGACGCAGUGGAGCCUGUUAGAGCUGCUGCUCUAAGAAGUUAUCUGGCACGGCGUGUGGGUUCCGGGUACACCCUGCAGCGUGAUCCAACUCGCAGCGGUCAGUUUUAUAUAGAGCUACGUGUCUACAAUAGCAAGGAAGCAGAGACACUUGCUGCUAAUCGUUGGAAGCGAGCGCUUUUCACACUUCGCUCAUCACAUGAUGACAGCGGUCCGGUAUGGAAAGCUCUUACUGACUUAGUUAGCGCUGCUAAGCAAGAGUAUGCAAAGAUAAAACCUAUAUUAUAUCCUUCAAACGUUUUCUAAAUUGCACUAUGAUAUGUUAGUUUUUGUUUACUCUUGUUUUAUAUAGGAACUGAGAAGGUAUUACCGGACUAGUUAAUCCUGUAUCCAAAAUAUAAAGUCUCGGUAUAUUGUAACAAUCAAACGUUUUCUAAUAACAGCAGCUUGUUAUUCUAUAUUUUGUAGCUGCGAUUAUCUUAUUUUUUAUCAUAUAUGUGUUUGUAGCACUUAUCUGCUUCAGAUUUGAAUUUAGUAUAGACCCCUUUUUCUGUAUGAUAUUAACAAUAUAAUGUAUUGUGUUACUACACAGGUCAAGCCAAACAUUUAUUAAACUCUGUAUCUAUUCUAUUUCAAUAUUUCGAAAAUUUUGAAGUCAUAAUAAUUUACUUGUUUACACUGUUUACCUUUCUUACAGACCUAACCAAAAAUUUGCAAAAAAUCUCUGAUAUUUCAAUAUUGCUCAGAAAUCAUGAGACACUGAAAUUCAAAUAUCUAAAAAUCCAGCAUGUUAAAUAUUCAUCAUUUAAAAUUAACUAUUACGCUGUUUAACUUUCUUACAGACCUAACCAAAAAUUUGCAAAAAAUCUCUGAUAUUUCAAUAUUGCUCAGAAAUCAUGAAACUCUGAAAUUCAAAUAUCCAUACAUUCUUUAUACAACGAAAUUUAAAAGUAAAAGCUCAAAUUAAUAUAAUAUUCCAGUUAUCGAGAUUGACAAAGUAUUAAUAUCAUGCUCUUUACAAAAAUGAAAUUCUGCCAUAGUUGUUAGUUACAUGUCUCAAAGUCAAAGUAUUCAUCACAUAAGAAAAGUAACAAACAUAAAACAAAUUGUUUACUCCGUACUGAAUACCAAAAUGUUCAAGACAGAAUAGCUAGCUACAAAAUAAAUCCUCAAAAUAAUGAAAUAAUAACACCCGAAUUAUUUUUAUCUGAUGUAUUCAACACCAUUUAUAAUUUAUUACAGCCAUUAUUACAAAAACAUAAAUCAUUAAAGAUAAACUUUGAACUUUUUGUGCUAUAUUUACUUCCUAAGAAUGAAGAACUAUCUCUUAAGUCUUUUAAUACUAAAUAUUCCAUAAUAAAUCAGAGUACAGAUAUCAUAUCUUUAUACAAAGAUUGCACGCAACGAUUAGUAUGUAAAUGCUUAGAGUUUGAAUUAUCAGAAUCUGGUUGGACAAUAGAGAAAAUAAGACAUUUAGAAAUGAAUAUUGCAAAAUACAAUCCUUUGAGAGCAGGAAGUUACAUUGCUUUACCUUUGAGAAUUAACAAAAUGAAGGCAUGUCUCAAUAUUCAGAAUACGGAUAACCAUUGUUUUCUUUGGUGUAUCAUUGCUCAUAUGUAUCCAGCUAAAAAUAAUCCUAAUAGAGUUUCAUCUUAUCCGCAUUAUUCUAAGAUCUUAAAUACUAACGGAAUGUCUUUCCCCCCAACAUUUGAAGAUAUAAAAUGGUUUGAAAAACAUAAUUUUAAUAUAAGUGUAAACAUUUAUGGUUUGGAAAAAAACAAUACUAUAACGGGACCAUUAUACAAAACUAAACUGCGAAAGUUAAAUCAUGUAAACUUAUUAUUUAUUAGCAAGAAUGGUAAGGAUCAUUUCUGCUUAAUUAAAAACCUUGAAAAAAUUGUUCGCAGUCAACUUACAAAACACAAAUCUAGGAUUCAUCUAUGUGAAGAAUGUUUUUUAUAUUUUAAAACACAGGAAAAACUAAAUAAUCAUAAUUGUGGUAGAUUGCAAACCGUUCUUCCUGAAGAAAAUAGUAAACUUAGUUUUUCAAAUUAUCAAAAAACUCAAAGAGUGCCAAUCGUCAUUUACGGAGAUUUUGAAAGCUUAUUACGUGAAUAUUCAGAUAAAAGUAAAAGUCAGUAUAUUGAAAACAUUCAAAUUCAUGAAGCCACUUGCUUUGCUUAUUAGAUAUGCUGUGAGUCUAACCCUGAAUUAAAUAAUUUAAUAUCAUAUCGUGGUCCAAAUUGUUCAAAAAAAUUCGUUGAGUCAAUUAUCAACGACUCGCAAAGAUUAUAUCAAAUUUUGUCAAUGCACAGACAAAUGUUACCGUUGACGAGUGAAGAAUAUCAUUCCUUUAAAACUGCUGUGAAAUGUCAUAUCUGUAAAAAAAAAUUUGCAUCUGAUGAUCAUAUUGUUCGUGAUCAUGAUCAUUUCACUGGUAAAUAUCGAGGGCCAGCUCAUAAUAAAUGUAAUCUAAAUUCUAAAUCAUGUCAUUUUAUACCAGUUAUAUUUCAUAAUCUUUCUGGAUAUGACAGCCAUUUAUUCAUAAAAAUAAUACAUAAAUUUAAUUCCAAAAAACAAAGAAAAAUAUAUUUCAUUCAGUAAAUUUGUGCCCCUGGAUUCAAAAAACACAGUCCAACUAAAAUUUAUUGACUCUUUUAAUUUUUUAAGUUCUAGUUUGGAUAAUUUAGCGAAAACUCUAAAUGUCGCAGAUUUUAAGCAUUUAAAAUCAUUUUUCAUUGAUGAAGAUUUACUAAGAUUGUGUCUAAAAAAAGGUGUAUAUUGCUAUGAAUAUAUAAACUCUUGGAAAAAAUAUGAAGAAACACAAUUACCUGAUCGAAACAAAUUCUAUAGUAGACUCACAUCCGAAACUGUAUCAGAAGAAGAUUAUAAUCAUGCAUUAACUGUAUGGAAUAAAUUUCGCAUAAAUAAUAUAGGAGAAUACACUGAUUUAUACCUAAAAUGUGAUGUGCUGUUAUUAUGUGACAUUUUUUAAAAAUUUAGAUCCAUGAGUUUAAAGCACUAUGGGCUAGAUCCUUGUCAUUAUGUUUCAUCACCAUCAUUAAGUUGGGAUGCUAUGUUAUUAAUUACUCAAGUUGAAUUGGACUUAUUAUCUGAUAUAGAAAUGUAUGAAAUGCUAGAAAAAGGCGUCAGAGGAGGGUUAGCACAGUGCUCUUUAAGGUAUGCAAAAGCUAAUAACAAAUACCUGCCAAAUUAUAAUGAACAAGAACCUAAUACUUUCCUAGCUUACUUAGAUUGUGUUAAUUUAUAUGGUUAUGCUAUGAUGCAAAGUUUACCGGUCGGAAAUUUUAGAUUCCUUACGAAUAGCGAAAUUAUCAAAUUCAAUAUUAGCUCUAUUUCAUCAGAUAGUGAUGAAGGUUAUAUACUUGAAGUAGAUAUUCAUUAUCCUUUUGUAAUACACGAUGAACAUUCUGAUCUACCAUUUGCAGCAGAAAAAAUAAUUCCUCCUAUGCCAUGCUCCAGUAAAACGAAUAAAUUAAUAGCUAAUCUUUAUGAUAAAUAUAAAUAUGUUAUACAUUAUAUUCAUUUGCAAGAGUGCAUAAAAAAUGGUAUCGUAGUGUUAAAAAUUCAUAGAAUACUUUCAUUUACACAAAAAAAGAUCUUAGAACAAUAUAUAAAUUUAAAUACUCGACUCAGACAGGAAGCGACUUCAGAUUUUGAAAGGGAUUUUUUUAAAAAGCAAAAUAAUUCAAUAUUUGGGAAAACUAUUGAAAAUAAAAGAAAACAAGUUGAUGUUAAGUUAGUUAAUUUAUUGAAAGAUGACUUCAAUAAAACUAACAAAAUUAAUGGUGCUGAAAAGUUCAUAGGCGCUCCCAAUUUCAAAAACCUUGCUAUAAUUUCUGAAAAUCUUGUUGCUAUUCAGUUACAGCCAGCAAAAGUAGUUUUAGACCGACCAAUAUAUAUAUAUAUUGGUCAUUAGCCCAUAUGGGCUUUACGAUACUGGAACUAGCAAAGAGUCACCUAUAUAAUUUUCAUUAUUCCAUAAUGAAAAAAAUAUACAAAAAUAACAUUAAAUUAUGUUAUACCGAUACCGACAGUCUCUUAUAUUUAAUACGUACCAAAGAUUUCUAUGAAGACAUGAAAAAUAAUAUUCAAUACUUUGAUACAAGUAAUUUUAAGAUUAACAAUAUUUAUGGGAUACCACAUUGCAAUAAACAGAUACCUGGUUUCUUUAAGGAUGAAAUGGGCGGAGAUGUCAUAUCAGAGUUUAUUGGUUUAAGAGCUAAGCUGUACUGUAUUAAUACGCUGAGCGAUAUAGUUAAGAAAGCCAAAGGUGUAAAAAAAUCUGUUUCAAAAAAAAUUACCAUAAACAAAUAUAAAAGUGCAUUAAAUUGUAAUAUCAAUUUUAGAUACCCUAUGUUUGUUAUACGAUCUAAAAAUCAUAAGCUUUAUACACAAAGAAUCAAAAACUUUGGUACUUGAUGGGAAUGAUGACAAACGUCAAAUUAAAAAAAAUAAUGCUUUUACUUUACCAUGGGGUCAUUAUAGUUCCCUAUUCUAAUCUGAACCAAAAAUUUAUUACUAUUUUUUUUUAAUAGGAUAAUUAUAUUAUUAUUUUUUGUAAUAAAAUUAAGUCAUAAUGUAUUUUUUAUUUUUGAAAUGAAAUAAAUAUUUUGUAUUCAAC